AGGGAAUCAUCCAGUCAUUCAAGAAAGUAGUCGAGCGGGAAACGGGUAACGUUAGCUCCUUGAAUGUAGCAGUGUGGCAAAGGGGACGACCAACCAAUGGAAUAGUGCCUGACAAGGACAGCAAACAGACUCUAUUCUUCCAGCUACCACGUGUUGAAAGCAAAUUCAAGACAAUGACAGCUCAAAGACAACAGACAGCUCCGAAAACAGCUCACCUGCCACUGUGAGGGAGAAUGUCUCAU